AUUGAACGCUGGCGGCAGGCCUAACACAUGCAAGUCGAGCGAGCGGCGGACGGGUGAGUAAUGUCUGGGAAACUGCCUGAUGGAGGGGGAUAACUACUGGAAACGGUAGCUACUACCGCAUACUAUCGGAUGUACCCAUAUGGGAUUAGCUAGUAGGUGGGGUAACGGCUCACCUAGGCGACGAUCCCUAGCUGGUCUGAGAGGAUGAUCAGACACACUGGAACUGAGACACGGCCCAGACUCCUACGGGAGGCAGCAGUGGGGAAUAUUGCACAAUGGGCGCAAUCCUGAUGCAGCCAUGCCGCGUGUAUGAAGAAGGCCUUCGGGUUGUAAAGUACUUUCAGCGGGGAGGCGUUACCGGCAGAAGAAGCACCGGCUAACUCCGUGCCAGCAGCCGCGGUAAUUC
rnacentral:rRNA from 1 species